rnacentral:lncRNA from 1 species
GCCCUUAAACCCCUGCUGUGGCUCGUCUAGAAGGCGUUAAAACUUUUUAUUCCCUCCCCGGGGUUGUGGCGUGUGGCUCUCUGCCGUGGAUGGCUUUACCCAUUCUCAGCCUUGCCCUCCUCCUUUCCCAGGGGAGCCUGGUGCUUUCUUCCACCAUCCCGCAGUGGUCCCUCUGGUGAGCAGCGGCUGUUGGCGGUGGCAGGACCAGGUCCCUGUCCUCAGCUGCCUGCCCUUCCCUUUGCUGGAGCUCAUCCCCUCCGAGACCAGCUGGCAGAGCUUCCCUCCGUUCCCCCAUGGUUGCCUUGCUCGUCCUGACGUGUCCGCAUUGGUGAGAAGAUUGGGUAUACCCUGUACAAGACCUCAAGCUGGAUCUCAAACCCUGUACAUCUAG